GGCAAUCGGGCAUCAGAAUUCAUCGAUAUGAAACCCUGAUCGAAAAGUCCCAGACCAGUGGGACUCUUGAUCUCGGUACCCAAAAUGUGUAGAACUCAUGAUCAGAGAAGCCUGAUUCUCGAUCACAGAAUCCCAGAUAUGUAGGACUCUUUACUAGCCAUCAGAUCAGAUAGGAACCUCUAAUGUGUGUGACCCCGCAGGUUCGAACCUAAGCCGGUAGCACAGGAACCAAUUCCUGUACUAAUCGAAGUGACCAUCUAGCAAUGGUACCCGAUGAUCGGAUAGGUCAAAAAGUUACAAUCGUAACACUCAAAACCUAUGUGAAUAUGGUUACGGUAUAAUUCAUCCUUUUGACCUCUGUGUUUAGGAUGACUCAGGGUUAAACUGUCAACCCUGAUUAGAUCAUCCGAAUCAUGCUCAACUCAAACAGUCCUAUGACUCCUCACAAGGACUACCCUGGCCAAGAUUUUGCUAAAUUGAAACAUGACUGUACACAGCUCCUAAACUGGAGUGGUCAAUCCCAUCUUGACACACGCACCGACAAGUUAAGUACUUGACU
rnacentral:lncRNA from 1 species